rnacentral:rRNA from 1 species
AGUGAACGCUGGCGGUAGGCCUAACACAUGCAAGUCGAACGGCAGCACAGGAGAGCUUGCUCUCUGGGUGGCGAGUGGCGGACGGGUGAGGAAUACAUCGGAAUCUACUCUGUCGUGGGGGAUAACGUAGGGAAACUUACGCUAAUACCGCAUCCGACCUACGGGUGAAAGCAGGGGAUCUUCGGACCUUGCGCGAUUGAAUGAGGCGAUGUCGGAUUAGCUAGUUGGCGGGGUAAAGGCCCACCAAGGCGACGAUCCGUAGCUGGUCUGAGAGGAUGAUCAGCCAUACUGGAACUGAGACACGGUCCAGACUCCUACGGGAGGCAGCAGUGGGGAAUAUUGGACAAUGGGCGCAAGCCUGAUCCAGCCAUACCGCGUGGGUGAAGAAGGCCUUCGGGUUGUAAAGCCCUUUUGUUGGGAAAGAAAUCCAGCUGGCUAAUACCCGGUUGGGAUGACGGUACCCAAAGAGUAAGCACCGGCUAACUUCGUGCCAGCCGCCGCAGUAA